UUGGUGGGGUAAUGGCCUACCAAGGCGACGACGGGUAGCCGNNCUGAGAGGGCGACCGGCCACACUGGGACUGAGACACGGCCCAGACUCCNACGGGAGGCAGCAGUGGGGAAUAUUGCACAAUGGGCGAAAGCCUGAUGCAGCGACGCCGCGUGAGGGAUGACGGCCUUCGGGUUGUAAACCUCUUUCAGCAGGGAAGAAGCGCAAGUGACGGUACCUGCAGAAGAAGCACCGGCUAACUACGUGCCAGCAGCCGCGGUAAUACGUAGGGUGCGAGCGUUGUCCGGAAUUAUUGGGCGUAAAGAGCUCCUAGGCGGCCUGUCGCGUCGGAUGUGAAAGCCCGGGGCUUAACCCCGGGUCUGCAUUCGAUACGGGCAGGCUAGAGUGUGGUAAGGGAGAUCGGAAUUCCUGGUGUAGCGGUGAAAUGCGCAGAUAUCAGGAGGAACACCGGUGGCGAAGGCGGAUCUCUGGGCCAUUACUGACGCUGAGGAGCGAAAGCGUGGGGAGCGAACAGGAUUAGAUACCCUGGUAGUCCACGCCGUAAACGUUGGGAACUAGGUGUUGGCGACAUUCCACGUCGUCGGUGCCGCAGCUAACGCAUUAAGUUCCCCGCCUGGGGAGUACGGCCGCAAGGCUAAAACUCAAAGGAAUUGACGGGGGCCCGCACAAGCAGCGGAGCAUGUGGCUUAAUUCGACGCAACGCGAAGAACCUUACCAAGGCUUGAYAUAUGCCGGAAACAUGUAGAGAUGGGUUCCCCCUUGUGGUCGGUAUACAGGUGGUGCAUGGUUGUCGUCAGCUCGUGUCGUGAGAUGUUGGGUUAAGUCCCGCAACGAGCGCAACCCUUGUUCUGUGUUGCCAGCAUGCCUUUCGGGGUGAUGGGGACUCACAGGAGACUGCCGGGGUCAACUCGGAGGAAGGUGGGGACGACCAUCAAAUCAUCAUGCCCCUUAUGUCUUGGGCUGCACACGUGCUACAAUGGUCGGU
rnacentral:rRNA from 1 species